UUUUUUCUUCGAUUAUAUUUCUAAAUCAAAAAAAUAUAUAAUAUUUAUUAAAAAUUAAAAUAAAAUACAACACGUAUUUCCAUAAAAUUUAUUAUUUAUAGUAAUGAAAUUCUUAUAGUGCUACUACUGCCAAACUCGGGUCCACCUUCGACACCACCAUCCCCUCCCCCAAAACAACUAUAUUUAAAAGAGAUAAUUGAGUUCUUUAAACAUCUAAUGUACAAUAUUUUCAAAACAUCAUAAAGAACACAACUCUCUUAUAAUCAUCUUCUAUGUUCCUUUUUCUAUUCAUCUUUAGUUUAUUAUCCAUUAUAAGUAUUGUAUACAUGUAAUCUGAGACAUUAAAGGAUAUCAAAAAAUCAAUCAAAAUAUCUUUAAUUUUUUUUAGCUACUUGUUUCUUUUAUUUAUUUUUUAAUCAUAAUUUCUUAGCUUUUUGUUCUAGAGUCUAUCAAAUAACUUGUGGAAUAACUUCACUUAUAAUUUUAGUAGUUGCAACACGGAUUUCCAUUAAUUUAAACAUACAGUAUUACUAAUAAAAAACUCUUCACGAUACUUUGAAUUGUUGAUCAAUUUGAAACCAACAUGUAUAGUAGCUAUAUCCUAUGAGGGGUUACAUGAAGUAAUCACAGCUAAUGCAUCAUUUUAGAUAGCUUAUUUUUGAUCUAACAAUACACACUAACCUGUUGCACCAUAUUUGGAAGUUAAAUUUUAUCAAAAAACAAU
rnacentral:lncRNA from 1 species